ACGCCUCCGGCUCCGACGCCUUCGGCCUCACGGACUCGAUGCUCCAGGAGGACUUUGACCCCUCCCACCACGACCAGCUCAUGGCCGAAUGGUUCGGGGAGGAAUAUUACGGGCGGGGGGAGGAGGAGAAGCCGCAGUUCGAGGAGGAGGAAGGGCUGGAAGACGACUGGAACUGGGAC